rnacentral:lncRNA from 1 species
UUGUAAGAUUUUUAUUUUCAACCAUUAAUUUUGAGCCACUUCGAUCACUAGGUAAAUGAUAUCGAAAAAUCACAAAAUUUAUUUUCUAGAUACUUCAAAUACUCUAGAUCAAUUCUAACGGAACCGAUCGUCGAUUCGAAAGUCCGAACAUCGAAAACAAAGUGGAAGCACGGAGCCCUCCGUGCUUCCAUAAGCAUCCUAGCCGCACUCCAUAUAUAUAUAUAUAGAGAGAGAGAGAGCGUGGCGCUAGACUUAUAUGCUUUUAGAAGCACAAUGACUACUUAGCCAUCAAGUCAUAUUUGAUAUUGAAACUUUCAAAUCGGCGAUCUAUUUUGUUAAAAUUGAUU